rnacentral:rRNA from 1 species
CGCCGCGUGAGUGAUGAAGGCUUUCGGGUCGUAAAACUCUGUUGUUAGGGAAGAACAAGUACGAGAGUAACUGCUCGUACCUUGACGGUACCUAACCAGAAAGCCACGGCUAACUACGUGCCAGCAGCCGCGGUAAUACGUAGGUGGCAAGCGUUAUCCGGAAUUAUUGGGCGUAAAGCGCGCGCAGGCGGUUUCUUAAGUCUGAUGUGAAAGCCCACGGCUCAACCGUGGAGGGUCAUCGGAAACUGGGGAACUUGAGUGCAGAAGAGAAAAGCGGAAUUCCACGUGUAGCGGUGAAAUGCGUGGAGAUGUGGAGGAACACCAGUGGCGAAGGCGGCUUUUUGGUCUGUAACUGACGCUGAGGCGCGAAAGCGUGGGGAGCAAACAGGAUUAGAUACCCUGGUAGUCCACGCCGUAAACGAUGAGUGCUAAGUGUUAGAGGGUUUCCGCCCUUUAGUGCUGCAGCUAACGCAUUA